CAAUAGCAUCCAUGAGUAUCCAUGUCCUUCUCUUUUUCUGAAAGUUACAAGGAUGGAGAAUUCCCAACAAUGAAGCUUCUUUUAGCUUUUUUUUCCUUAAAGAUAAUUUUUAGUAAAUAGAGAAAUGCAUCAGGAACAUAGUUCAUACGGUACAGAAAAUAAAACCGACUUUGGUCGCCUUGAAAGUUAAUGUUUGCCUGAUUGCAAAAUCAAGCAUAUAAUAGUACUCGUUUCACACUGCAUAUUCAGGGGACCAUUCAAAAAGAAUUAUUAUUACGAGCAGCAUUCUUUAACAUAGUGCAAUGUGCUUACAAAUUCUUGGGAUGAUAACAUGCCUCCCGAAUUGAAACUGGUGGGUCAGAGAAGGAGCCAUUGAGAAUUCGGUUUGCAAUCCAUAGGUUGGCUGACUCAGAGUAGUGUAUGCCAUCCCAGCUAACGUGCCUUGAUGGAUUCUGACAUA